CGGACGGGUGAGUAAUACUUAGGAAUCUGCCCAUUAGUGGGGGACAACUAGAAGAAAUUCUAGCUAAUACCGCAUACGCCCUACGGGGGAAAGCGGGGGAUCUUCGGACCUCGCGCUAAUGGAUGAGCCUAAGUCGGAUUAGCUUGUUGGUGAGGUAAUGGCUCACCAAGGCGACGAUCCGUAGCCGGUCUGAGAGGACGAUCAGCCACACUGGGACUGAGACACGGCCCAG
rnacentral:rRNA from 1 species